rnacentral:rRNA from 1 species
UUAAGUUAUUAAGGGCGCACGGUGGAUGCCUUGGCACUAGAAGCCGAUGAAGGACGUUACUAACGACGAUAUGCUUUGGGGAGCUGUAAGUAAGCUUUGAUCCAGAGAUUUCCGAAUGGGGAAACCCAGCAUGAGUUAUGUCAUGUUAUCGAUAUGUGAAUACAUAGCAUAUCAGAAGGCACACCCGGAGAACUGAAACAUCUUAGUACCCGGAGGAAGAGAAAGAAAAUUCGAUUCCCUUAGUAGCGGCGAGCGAAACGGGAAGAGCCCAAACCAACAAGCUUGCUUGUUGGGGUUGUAGGACACUCUAUACGGAGUUACAAAGGACGACAUUAGACGAAUCAUCUGGAAAGAUGAAUCAAAGAAGGUAAUAAUCCUGUAGUCGAAAAUGUUGUCUCUCUUGAGUGGAUCCUGAGUACGACGGAGCACGUGAAAUUCCGUCGGAAUCUGGGAGGACCAUCUCCUAAGGCUAAAUACUCUCUAGUGACCGAUAGUGAACCAGUACCGUGAGGGAAAGGUGAAAAGCACCCCGGAAGGAGAGUGAAAUAGAACCUGAAACCGUGUGCUUACAAGUAGUCAGAGCCCGUUAAUGGGUGAUGGCGUGCCUUUUGUAGAAUGAACCGGCGAGUUACGAUUUGAUGCAAGGUUAAGCAGUAAAUGUGGAGCCGUAGCGAAAGCGAGUCUGAAUAGGGCGUUUAGUAUUUGGUCGUAGACCCGAAACCAGGUGAUCUACCCUUGGUCAGGUUGAAGUUCAGGUAACACUGAAUGGAGGACCGAACCGACUUACGUUGAAAAGUGAGCGGAUGAACUGAGGGUAGCGGAGAAAUUCCAAUCGAACCUGGAGAUAGCUGGUUCUCUCCGAAAUAGCUUUAGGGCUAGCCUCAAGUGAUGAUUAUUGGAGGUAGAGCACUGUUUGGACGAGGGGCCCCUCUCGGGUUACCGAAUUCAGACAAACUCCGAAUGCCAAUUAAUUUAACUUGGGAGUCAGAACAUGGGUGAUAAGGUCCGUGUUCGAAAGGGAAACAGCCCAGACCACCAGCUAAGGUCCCAAAAUAUAUGUUAAGUGGAAAAGGAUGUGGCGUUGCCCAGACAACUAGGAUGUUGGCUUAGAAGCAGCCAUCAUUUAAAGAGUGCGUAAUAGCUCACUAGUCGAGUGACACUGCGCCGAAAAUGUACCGGGGCUAAACAUAUUACCGAAGCUGUGGAUUGUCCUUUGGACAAUGGUAGGAGAGCGUUCUAAGGGCGUUGAAGCAUGAUCGUAAGGACAUGUGGAGCGCUUAGAAGUGAGAAUGCCGGUGUGAGUAGCGAAAGACGGGUGAGAAUCCCGUCCACCGAUUGACUAAGGUUUCCAGAGGAAGGCUGGUCCGCUCUGGGUUAGUCGGGUCCUAAGCUGAGGCCGACAGGCGUAGGCGAUGGAUAACAGGUUGAUAUUCCUGUACCACCUAUAAUCGUUUUAAUCGAUGGGGGGACGCAGUAGGAUAGGCGAAGCGUGCGAUUGGAUUGCACGUCUAAGCAGUAAGGCUGAGUAUUAGGCAAAUCCGGUACUCGUUAAGGCUGAGCUGUGAUGGGGAGAAGACAUUGAGUCUUCGAGUCGUUGAUUUCACACUGCCGAGAAAAGCCUCUAGAUAGAAAAUAGGUGCCCGUACCGCAAACCGACACAGGUAGUCAAGAUGAGAAUUCUAAGGUGAGCGAGCGAACUCUCGUUAAGGAACUCGGCAAAAUGACCCCGUAACUUCGGGAGAAGGGGUGCUCUUUAGGGUUAACGCCCAGAAGAGCCGCAGUGAAUAGGCCCAAGCGACUGUUUAUCAAAAACACAGGUCUCUGCUAAACCGUAAGGUGAUGUAUAGGGGCUGACGCCUGCCCGGUGCUGGAAGGUUAAGAGGAGUGGUUAGCUUCUGCGAAGCUACGAAUCGAAGCCCCAGUAAACGGCGGCCGUAACUAUAACGGUCCUAAGGUAGCGAAAUUCCUUGUCGGGUAAGUUCCGACCCGCACGAAAGGCGUAACGAUUUGGGCACUGUCUCAACGAGAGACUCGGUGAAAUCAUAGUACCUGUGAAGAUGCAGGUUACCCGCGACAGGACGGAAAGACCCCGUGGAGCUUUACUGUAGCCUGAUAUUGAAAUUCGGCACAGCUUGUACAGGAUAGGUAGGAGCCUUUGAAACGUGAGCGCUAGCUUACGUGGAGGCGCUGGUGGGAUACUACCCUAGCUGUGUUGGCUUUCUAACCCGCACCACUUAUCGUGGUGGGAGACAGUGUCAAGCGGGCAGUUUGACUGGGGCGGUCGCCUCCUAAAAGGUAACGGAGGCGCUCAAAGGUUCCCUCAGAAUGGUUGGAAAUCAUUCAUAGAGUGUAAAGGCAUAAGGGAGCUUGACUGCGAGACCUACAAGUCGAGCAGGGUCGAAAGACGGACUUAGUGAUCCGGUGGUUCCGCAUGGAAGGGCCAUCGCUCAACGGAUAAAAGCUACCCCGGGGAUAACAGGCUUAUCUCCCCCAAGAGUUCACAUCGACGGGGAGGUUUGGCACCUCGAUGUCGGCUCAUCGCAUCCUGGGGCUGUAGUCGGUCCCAAGGGUUGGGCUGUUCGCCCAUUAAAGCGGUACGCGAGCUGGGUUCAGAACGUCGUGAGACAGUUCGGUCCCUAUCCGUCGUGGGCGUAGGAAAUUUGAGAGGAGCUGUCCUUAGUACGAGAGGACCGGGAUGGACAUACCUCUGGUGUACCAGUUGUCGUGCCAACGGCAUAGCUGGGUAGCUAUGUGUGGACGGGAUAAGUGCUGAAAGCAUCUAAGCAUGAAGCCCCCCUCAAGAUGAGAUUUCCCAACUUCGGUUAUAAGAUCCCUCAAAGAUGAUGAGGUUAAUAGGUUCGAGGUGGAAGCAUGGUGACAUGUGGAGCUGACGAAUACUAAUCGAUCGAAGACUUAAUCAA